GCAGCUUGCAAGUCAUUUUCUUAG
rnacentral:miRNA from 1 species